AACCGACACAGGUGGUCAGGUAGAGAAUACCAAGGCGCUUGAGAGAACUCGGGUGAAGGAACUAGGCAAAAUGGUGCCGUAACUUCGGGAGAAGGCACGCUGACACGUAGGUGAAGUGAUUUACUCACGGAGCUGAAGUCAGUCGAAGAUACCAGCUGGCUGCAACUGUUUAUUAAAAACACAGCACUGUGCAAACACGAAAGUGGACGUAUACGGUGUGACGCCUGCCCGGU
rnacentral:rRNA from 4 species